UACGGAGGAUGCAAGCGUUAUCCGGAAUGAUUGGGCGUAAAGCGUCCGCAGGUGGCAAUGUAAGUCUGCUGUCAAAGCGUCUGGCUCAACCAGAUAAAGGCAGUGGAAACUACAUAGCUAGAGUAAGGUAGGGGUAGAGGGAAUUCCUGGUGUAGCGGUGAAAUGCGUAGAGAUCAGGAAGAACACCGGUGGCGAAAGCGCUCUGCUGGACCUAAGCUGACACUGAGGGACGAAAGCUAGGGGAGCGAAUGGG
rnacentral:rRNA from 1 species